rnacentral:rRNA from 1 species
UCGGGAAUUUUGGGCAAUGGGGGAAACCCUGACCCAGCAACGCCGCGUGAAGGAUGAAGUAUUUCGGUAUGUAAACUUCGAAAGAAUAGGAAGAAUAAAUGACGGUACUAUUUAUAAGGUCCGGCUAACUACGUGCCAGCAGCCGCGGUAAUACGUAGGGACCAAGCGUUGUUCGGAUUUACUGGGCGUAAAGGGCGCGUAGGCGGCAUGACAAGUCACUUGUGAAAUCUCCGGGCUUAACUCGGAACGGCCAAGUGAUACUGUCACGCUAGAGUAUUGGAGGGGCAAUCGGAAUUCUUGGUGUAGCGGUGAAAUGCGUAGAUAUCAAGAGGAACACCUGAGGUGAAGACGGGUUGCUGGCCAAAUACUGACGCUGAGGCGCGAAAGCCAGGGGAGCAAACGGGAUUAGAUACCCAGGUAGUCCCUGAGCGGGCUGGCAAGGCGCAU